AACGAACGCUGGCGGCAUGCCUAACACAUGCAAGUCGAACGAGACCUUCGGGUCUAGUGGCGCACGGGUGCGUAACGCGUGGGAACCUGCCCUUAGGUUCGGCAUAACUCCCCGAAAGGGGUACUAAUACCGGAUAAUGUCUUCGGACCAAAGAUUUAUCGCCUUUGGAUGGGCACGCGUUGGAUUAGCUAGUUGGUAGGGUAAAAGCCUACCAAGGCGACGAUCCAUAGCUGGUCUGAGAGGCUGAUCAGCCACACUGGGACUGAGACACGGCCCAGACUCCUACGGGAGGCAGCAGUGGGGAAUAGUGGACAAUGGGCGAAAGCCUGAUCCAGCAAUGCCGCGUGAGUGAUGAAGGCCUUAGGGUUGUAAAGCUCUUUUACCCGGGAUGAUAAUGACAGUACCGGGAGAAUAAGCUCCGGCUAACUCCGUG
rnacentral:rRNA from 1 species